UACGGAGGGUGCAAGCGUUGUUCGGAUUUACUGGGCGUAAAGCGCGCGCAGGUGGGUGAACAAGUCGGAAGUGAAAUCUUGAGGCUCAACCUCGAGGCUGCUCCCGAAACUGUUCGCCUAGGGACUGGUAGAGGCUGGUAGAAUUCCCGGUGUAGCGGUGGAAUGCGUAGAGAUCGGGAAGAAUACCUGUGGCGAAGGCGGCCAGCUGGGCCAGAUCCGACACUGAGGCGCGGAAGCGUGGGGGAGCAAACAGG
rnacentral:rRNA from 1 species